rnacentral:rRNA from 1 species
CCUACGGGUGGCAGCAGUCGGGAAUAUUGCGCAAUGGAGGGAACUCUGACGCAGUGACGCCGCGUAUAGGAAGAAGGUUUUCGGAUUGUAAACUAUUUUAGACAGGGAAGAAAAAAGACAGUACCUGUAGAAUAAGCUCCGGCUAACUACGUGCCAGCAGCCGCGGUAAUACGUAGGGAGCAAGCGUUAUCCGGAUUUAUUGGGUGUAAAGGGUGCGUAGACGGGAUAACAAGUUAGUUGUGAAAGCCCUCGGCUUAACUGAGGAACUGCAACUAAAACUAUUAUUCUUGAGUGCAGGAGAGGGAAGCGGAAUUCCUAGUGUAGCGGUGAAAUGCGUAGAUAUUAGGAGGAACACCAGUGGCGAAGGCGGCUUUCUGGACUGUAACUGACGUUGAGGCACGAAAGUGUGGGGAGCAAACAGGAUUAGAUACCCCGGUAGUC